UUAAUAGAAGACGAGAAGACCCUAUAGAGUUUUAUAAAUUUUAGACUUAGUGAGAUUUUGGAAUUAAUAAAUUUUUAAGUUAAAAUUUAUUUAGUUGGGGUGAUUAAAAAAUUGAAUGAACUUUUUUUAUUUAUUUAUACAUUAAUUUAUGGUUAAUUGAUCCUUAUUUAAAGAUUAAAAGAAAAAAUUACCUUAGGGAUAACAGCGUAAUUUUUUUAAAGAGUUCAAAUCGAAAAAAAAGAUUGCGACCUCGAUGUUGGAUUAAAAUAAAAUUUUGGUGUAGGGGCUAAAAUAUUUGGGUCUGUUCGACCCUUAAAAUUUUACAUGAUCUGAGUUUAAACCGGCGU
rnacentral:rRNA from 1 species